CUUCCUUGUAUGGCUCUGAGUAAGAUUUGGCCAAGAGGAAUUUGCACAAGAUUUUAGAAGGCAGGAACAAUGCAACAGACGUGACUCAAUGAAGAUUUCAGGAUUAGGAUAGUGAUGGACACUCACAAAGCAUAAACAUCCAUGCUUCUGGAUUCAACAAACUCUUGGAAAGCAUUUUUCUGCAUCCUGCUGGUGUGGAAGCAUUUCACCUGCAAAAAGCUGUCAAGAUGCUUCAAGAAGUGAAGCAUCCAAUGGCUGGCCACUGUGUUCCUCAUAUUCAAGGCUCUAGUCUGCUUUGCAAAACUUCUUGAAUCACAGCUGCCCUGUAUGUUCGUUAGUAGUUCCUGGGCCAAAUGCGCUGUUCAUGUUUCAAGUUAUCUCUGCUGCGUUAUGACCCAUUUUGAACUCAAAUAAGAAAACCACUUGAAGUUGCUUUUUGUCUAAUAUCAUUUCCAUAGUCUAAAAUAAAUAUAAACAGCAAGUAAUAAGUCAUUAGCAAAAAAAAAAAAAACAAAGUGAGAAAUGCCCAUUAAAAUGAUGUAUAACAUAACCACAUUUAAGAAGGUUUAAGAGGGUAUUCCAGUAUCAAAUGACAAAUUUCAACGAUGCAAAAACCUCAAUUACUUUUGCACCAUCCUAAUAUACCCUACAAAUCAAAAAGAAAAGAACAAGACCAACAGGAAAAAGAAGGAAGAAUGAGACUAAGACCAGAAAACAAAACAUCCUCAACCUGCAAGGAAUGCAAAGUGAACACAAGAUAAGAGUUUUAAAACCAAUAAACUGACAAAAAAUAAAAAUUCUGACAAUAUUACAUGUUGGUGAUGACACAGAAGAACAAGAAUCUGUAUUAUACACAACAGACAAAAGUUUUCAUAGAAAGAUCCUCAAUCAAGAUCAUUCUGGAAUGUGCAGAAGAUAAAAAGAAAUGGGAUGGCAAAACGCAGAGAAAGCAAGGCAAAUGAAAGCUACAAACCUCUCCCUUAGAUAAAUGUACACAUGAGCCGGGAGCGGUGGCUCACACCUGUAACCCCAGCACUUCGGGAGGCCAAGGCGGCUGGAUUACCUGAGGUCGGGCGUUCAAGAUCAGCCUGACCAACAUGGUGAAACCUCGCCUCCACCAAAUACAAAAGAAAUUUAGCCGGGCGUGAUGGCAGGUGCCUGUAAUCCCAGUUACUCGGGAGGCUGAGGCAGGAGAACAGCUUGAACUCGGGAGGCGGAGGUUGCAGUAAGCCGAGAUCGUGCCAUUGCACUCCAGCCUGGGCAACAAGAGCAAAACUCCAGUCUCAAAAAAAAAAAAAAAAAAAGAAAGAAAAAAGAAAAAACAGGGCCGGGCGCGGUGGCUCACACCUGUAAUUCCAGCACUUUGGGAGGCCAAGGCAGGCGGAUCACGAGGUCAGGAGAUUGAGACCAUCCUGGCUAACAUGGUGAAACCCCGUCUCUACUAAAAACACAAAAAAUUAGCCGGGCAUGGUGGCGGGCACCUGUAGUCCCAGCUACUCGGGAGGCUGAGGCAGGAGAAUGGUGUGAACCCAGGAGGCGGAGCUUGCAGUGAGCUGAGGUGGUGCCACUGCACUCCAGGCUGGGCAACAGAGCGAAACUCCAUCUCAAAAAAAAGUAAGAAAAAUAAAUGUACACGGUACACAGACAUGAAAUUAUGUAUAUAAUUUCAGUGGUUCACAAAUUCCCUGGGAGCCCCACCAACAGGCUGUUCUUCAGAUUCCAGGUUAAGAACAGCUACUUUAGGGGCUAAAUUCAAUUAUAAUAUUUAAGUGACCAAAUUUCUUUGACCAGAGUUAUGCUAUCAGCUAGUGCAUAAGCAUUUCACACACACUGCUCGCGUUCAGAAAUCUUUGUUUGCCUCAGUAAAAUUUACCAUCAUUCUUACUGUAAUGAGCUCUUUGCUCUAGAAGUACAUACAAGGGAAGUAAUGAGAUUGGUAGACAUAUGACACUGGUAGAAUUAGUUUGAACAUCUGUGUAAAGGCUACCUUUGAGAGUUCGAAGAUAGAACAAGGAACAUCACACUAAAAGAAAAAAAAAGAGGUUGGCUCCUUUUUGUAUCUAUAGACAAUUACUGGUAAAACUUACAACCCACUUCAUACACUAUUUGCAAAACUGCACCAUACGGUUCAACAUCUUCAGCUGUCAUACCAGAAAAUGUCACACGACAGGGACGUUAAUCCAUUAGUCUAUUUUUUUCACUUGUAUUUGUCUUUUUCUUUAUAUGUCCUUCUUUCUCAUUUUGGGCGUUGGUUCAUGUCUUUCCUAUUCUCUAGUUCCACUCAUAAUUCUUUCAUUCUGCCAUUUUUAUCCUGUAAAUAGAUGUAAUGUAGGAUUAUUUUAUUAUAUAGAUUUCAUGUUUUCCAGCAACCUAAUCUUUCCGUCAAUAAAUACAUCUAAACCGGUUACUUUAUCUAUCCUUGUUUCUCAAUUGAGUAUUUUAAUAUGAAUCUUUUGAUUGUGACAAAGAUACACUCC
rnacentral:lncRNA from 1 species